rnacentral:rRNA from 1 species
UACAGAGGGUGCAAGCGUUAAUCGGAAUUACUGGGCGUAAAGCGUGCGUAGACGGUUGCGUAAGUCAGAUGUGAAAGCCCCGGGCUCAACCUGGGAAUUGCAUUUGAGACUGCGUAGCUAGGGUGCGGAAGAGGGAAGCGGAAUUUCCGGUGUAGCGGUGAAAUGCGUAGAUAUCGGGAAGAACACCCGUGGCGAAGGCGGUUCUCUGGGACGGUACUGACGCUGAGACGCGAAAGCGUGGGGAGCGAACAGG